CCUACGGGUGGCAGCAGUGAGGAAUAUUGGUCAAUGGCCGGAAGGCUGAACCAGCCAAGCCGCGUGAAGGACGAAGGUGCCAAGCAUUGUAAACUUCUUUUGGCAAGGGACACAAUCAGGCUCGAGAGCCUGACCGAGGGUACUUGAAGAAAAAGCAUCGGCUAACGCCGUGCCAGCAGCCGCGGUAAUACGGAGGAUUCGAGCGUUAUCCGGAUUUAGUGGGUUUAAAGGGUGCGUAGGCGGGCAGUUGAGUCAGCGGUAAAAGCCCGGGGCUCAACCCCGGCGAGCCGUUGAAACUGGCUGUCUUGAGAUGUCGAGAGGUAUGCGGAAUGCGCAGUGUAGCGGUGAAAUGCUUAGAUAUUGCGCAGAACUCCGAUUGCGAAGGCAGCAUACCGGCGGCGAUCUGACGCUGAGGCACGAAAGCGUGGGUAGCGAACAGGAUUAGAUACCCCAGUAGUC
rnacentral:rRNA from 1 species